UCGCCUUCUCCUGUGCUUGGGGUCUGAGAAGCUUGGAUUUCAGAGAAGAGUGUCCACAGAGCAGAGAUCUCACAGAAUUUUCAGGAUGCAGGAGGGGAAGAGGGGCUCCUGUGCAUUUUCUCCCACACGCACUGCUGAGUGAUAAAGGCCCAGGGCCCUGACAUAAUAAAAUUUAUGUUUUGGAGGAUCCCCCCGGGCAGCUUCACGGCCGGUGGAUCAGAGAGGAUUGAAUGUGGCCAACGCACCAAAGAAACAGAGAUGAGCAGAAUGGAUGCAGAGGGAGGUUGAUGACCUUGUUGGAGGCCCUGGAUUCAACUGCACCUGAAGCCAGACCCAGCUGAAACUUCCCGGGACAUAAGCC
rnacentral:lncRNA from 1 species